CAGAGGGGGGCUUGCUACUAACAACAAUGCUGCUCCUUAAGUCCGAGAAAUACUUCUCAUUGAGGAGAAUGAGACCAAGGAGAGGUCUGCUCAUGGACCACUGAUUCUGACAGUCCUUCAAAUAUGAUGAUGAUGGUGAUAUUGAGAACAGUGGAGAGCAUCUGCAUCUGCUGGAUCAUUUCAGGGUGGUUGCUGCAUAAUGUGCAGGAAGGCGCUCGCUCUCUUGUGGUGGUGGUGGGAGGCUCCUCGUUUCUUACCAGUUUGGGAUAACGGUUUGAAGAGGAGGUAUGUGACUAUGUGGUUUAGAAAGGUUUAGAAAAGCAAGCAAAGAAAAUGUUAGCAGUUUAUAAUGCAAAGCAGCCAAAUGUCGACUAAGGAGUCACUGUGAGAAUUAAAGUACCCGAAGUGGACAGAGCAAAAACUAAUGCUCGAUUUUUAGCUGUGGUUCUUAUUAAAACAGAGAAUGGCUUUUAUAAACUUGGUACUAGAACUGAUAUUUUGAAACAAUUGUAUGCCAAAUCGGAAUUCAGUGUUUGCAAAGAGAGAUUUUUAACGAAAGAAGAUGUCCCUGCUGUAGAAAUACCUUUACGUCAAACAGCAAUCAAACAAUCCCUUGAUACUGGGCAGGGUUUCCGAAAAUGUGACUGCAAAUCGAAAAUGUACCACAAAUAGGUGUGCUUGUCACAAAAAACAAUUGCUAUGUAAUUGAAAGUGUCGCCAAUCUUUAGAUUGCACUAAUAAGUAAGCAUAGUUUUAUAAUAUGUUUGUUUAGCAAAUUAAUUUCCUUAAUCGUUUGAUUCUUUCUAUUGCAGUUUUGUAACAGAAACUUGCUUCUUUGUUGCUAAAUAAAUA